GAUGAACGCUGGCGGCGUGCCUAAUACAUGCAAGUCGAGCGAACAGACGAGGAGCUUGCUCCUCUCACGUUAGCGGCGGACGGGUGAGUAACACGUGGAACACCUCCCUAUAAGACUGGGAUAACUUCGGGACACCGGAGCUAAUACCGGAUAAUCUAUUGAACCGCAUGGUUCAAUAGUGAAAGACGGCUUUGCUGUCACUUAUAGCUGGAUCCGCGCCGCAUUAGCUAGUUGGUAAGGUAACGGCUUACCAAGGCUACGAUGCGUAGCCGACCUGACAGGGUGAUCGGCGACACUAGAGCGGAGACACGGUCCAUGCUCCUACGGGAGGCAGCAGUAGGGAAUCUUCCGCAGUGGGCGAAAACCUUGCGGAGCGGCGCCGCGUGAGUGGUAAAAGUCUUCGGUUCGUAAAGCUCUGUUAUUAGGGAAAAACAAAUUUGUAAGUAACUAUGCACGUCUUGACGGUACCUAGUCAAAAAGCCACGGCUAACUACGUG
rnacentral:rRNA from 1 species